UACGUAGGCCUCGAGCGUUAGGCGGAAUCACUGGGCUUAAAGCGUGUGUAGGUGGAUGCCUAAGUACCUUGUGAAAUCCCACGGCUUAACCGUGGAAUGGCUGGGUAUACUGGGCGUCUUGAGCCACUCAGGGGCUACCGGAACAAAUGGUGGAGCGGUGAAAUGCGUAGAUAUCAUUUGGAACGCCAAUGGUGAAAACAGGUAGCUGGGGGUGUGCUGACACUGAGACACGAAAGCCAGGGGAGCAAACGGG
rnacentral:rRNA from 1 species